CUCCGUCAGCCUCCGCUUGUGGCUUUCCCUGACAGAUGUUCAGCAUUCCUGGGAUCUCUGGCCUCCUGGGAUUCCCACUCUAUCUUUGGCUUAUAAAUACACGUGAGCCACUCAGCAGCUGCCUGCUAGGACUGCAGUCCCACCACACAGUGCUUGACUUUCCGGGUCUUCCUUGGACGUCUUGGCGGAAGCCUCCAUUGCUCUUUCACUCCUAUAUUCUGCAUGCUCGGGGAACCAGCAUCGUGCGAUGAGGAUUUGCUGCCAGCUUAAGAAGUAGCUGUGCUCCCGCUUCAUCCCAGUAGCUGCAGUGACUCCUGGGCUACAUGGCCGCCGAAUGCAGAAAGCUGCUUCUCUAGUUGGUCCUAAGUGAGGAUCCCCGGAGCCGCCUUCUUGAAGCAAAAGAUUUCAGUUCAUCCUGGUGGAGAGAGUAUGGCAGAACAGCUCACAUGGAAGCCAGGAAGCUGAGAGAGAACACCUGUCCUCGAGGGCUAUUUCCUUCCCAUCUUCCUCCAUCUAAGACCCCAGCAUGCUGGACGGUGCUGCCCUGAUUCAGGGGACCAGAUGGCUUGGUGGUUAAGAACACUGGUUGUUCCUCCAGAGGACCCUGGUUCGUUUUCCAGCGCUCACAUGGUAACUCACAUGUCUGUGACUCAAGUCCUAUGGGAUCCAACACCCUCUUCUGGCCUGACAUAGUUGUGGUACACAGAUAUACAUGCAGGCAAAU